CCGGCGCACGGGUGAGUAACACGUAUCCAACCUGCCGUCUACUCUUGGACAGCCUUCUGAAAGGAAGAUUAAUACAAGAUGGCAUCAUGAGUUCACAUGUUCACAUGAUUAAAGGUAUUCCGGUAGGCGAUGGGGAUGCGUUCCAUUAGAUAGUAGGCGGGGUAACGGCCCACCUAGUCUUCGAUGGAUAGGGGUUCUGGGAGGAAGGUCCCCCACAUUGGAACUGAGACACGGUCCAA
rnacentral:rRNA from 1 species